UGGCUCAGAUUGAACGCUGGCGGCAGGCCUAACACAUGCAAGUCGAACGGUAACAGGAAGCAGCUUGCUGCUUUGCUGACGAGUGGCGGACGGGUGAGUAAUGUCUGGGAAACUGCCUGAUGGAGGGGGAUAACUACUGGAAACGGUGGCUAAUACCGCAUAACGUCGCAAGACCAAAGAGGGGGACCUUCGGGCCUCUUGCCAUCAGAUGUGCCCAGAUGGGAUUAGCUUGUUGGUGAGGUAACGGCUCACCAAGGCGACGAUCCCUAGCUGGUCUGAGAGGAUGACCAGCCACACUGGAACUGAGACACGGUCCAGACUCCUACGGGAGGCAGCAGUGGGGAAUAUUGCACAAUGGGCGCAAGCCUGAUGCAGCCAUGCCGCGUGUAUGAAGAAGGCCUUCGGGUUGUAAAGUACUUUCAGCGGGGAGGAAGGUGUUGCGGUUAAUAACCGCAGCAAUUGACGUUACCCGCAGAAGAAGCACCGGCUAACUCCGUGCCAGCAGCCGCGGUAAUACGGAGGGUGCAAGCGUUAAUCGGAAUUACUGGGCGUAAAGCGCACGCAGGCGGUCUGUCAAGUCGGAUGUGAAAUCCCCGGGCUCAACCUGGGAACUGCAUUCGAAACUGGCAGGCUUGAGUCUUGUAGAGGGGGGUAGAAUUCCAGGUGUAGCGGUGAAAUGCGUAGAGAUCUGGAGGAAUACCGGUGGCGAAGGCGGCCCCCUGGACAAAGACUGACGCUCAGGUGCGAAAGCGUGGGGAGCAAACAGGAUUAGAUACCCUGGUAGUCCACGCCGUAAACGAUGUCUACUUGGAGGUUGUGCCCUUGAGGCGUGGCUUCCGGAGCUAACGCGUUAAGUAGACCGCCUGGGGAGUACGGCCGCAAGGUUAAAACUCAAAUGAAUUGACGGGGGCCCGCACAAGCGGUGGAGCAUGUGGUUUAAUUCGAUGCAACGCGAAGAACCUUACCUGGUCUUGACAUCCACAGAAGAAUCCAGAGAUGGAUUUGUGCCUUCGGGAACUGUGAGACAGGUGCUGCAUGGCUGUCGUCAGCUCGUGUUGUGAAAUGUUGGGUUAAGUCCCGCAACGAGCGCAACCCUUAUCCUUUGUUGCCAGCGAUUAGGUCGGGAACUCAAAGGAGACUGCCAGUGAUAAACUGGAGGAAGGUGGGGAUGACGUCAAGUCAUCAUGGCCCUUACGACCAGGGCUACACACGUGCUACAAUGGCGCAUACAAAGAGAAGCGACCUCGCGAGAGCAAGCGGACCUCAUAAAGUGCGUCGUAGUCCGGAUUGGAGUCUGCAACUCGACUCCAUGAAGUCGGAAUCGCUAGUAAUCGUGGAUCAGAAUGCCACGGUGAAUACGUUCCCGGGCCUUGUACACACCGCCCGUCACACCAUGGGAGUGGGUUGCAAAAGAAGUAGGUAGCUUAACCUUCGGGAGGGCGCUUACCACUUUGUGAUUCAUGACUGGGGUGAAGUCGUA
rnacentral:rRNA from 1 species